rnacentral:rRNA from 1 species
AACGCGAAGAACCUUACCAGCCCUUGACAUUUGGUGCUACUUCCAGAGAUGGAAGGUUCCCUUCGGGGACGCCAGGACAGGUGCUGCAUGGCUGUCGUCAGCUCGUGUCGUGAGAUGUUGGGUUAAGUCCCGCAACGAGCGCAACCCUCGCCCUUAGUUGCCAGCAUUCAGUUGGGCACUCUAGGGGGACUGCCGGUGAUAAGCCGAGAGGAAGGUGGGGAUGACGUCAAGUCCUCAUGGCCCUUACGGGCUGGGCUACACACGUGCUACAAUGGCGGUGACAGUGGGCAGCGAACUCGCGAGAGGGAGCUAAUCUCCAAAAGCCGUCUCAGUUCGGAUUGUUCUCUGCAACUCGAGAGCAUGAAGUUGGAAUCGCUAGUAAUCGCGUAACAGCAUGACGCGGUGAAUACGUUCCCGGGCCUUGUACACACCGCCCGUCACACCAUGGGAGUUGGGUUUACCCGAAGGCAGUGCGCUAACCGCAAGGGGGCAGCUGACCACGGUAGGCUCAGCGACUGGGGUGAAGUCGUAACAAGGUA